AUCUUCCAUCUUGUACUUAAACGUAGGAAUGUGUGUAAAUAAAAAGCUCAACUCUGAGCAUGCUUGAGCAGAGAAUCUAGUGCUAGAAUGGCAAUACUACAAAAAGAAAGUGAUGCUGAGUGUUUCCUGUGUGCUUUAAUUGCAAAUACUCAAUUUAUAAAUUCAUAGUUCAAGCUAGACAUUUGCAUAAUUGGUGAAAAAAGCAAUAAAAGACACACAGCAAAAAAAGGCUUAUCUUACUUAGUAUUUUGUUGUUUCUAGUCAAAAUAUCUAAAAACUCUUAAAUCAAGAUGCAUUCACUAGAUAAGCAAAAACACAUACGAUAUUUAGUUGUUUCCUGGGGGAAAAGUUCUAAAUGAAGUUCAUUUUGCUUAAAACAACUUAAAAACCCUCUUAAAACAAAAUUAUUUUGAACUUUGUUGUUUAAGUCUAGAUCUAGGCACGAUGAGUAGACAGAGAUCACUGGAUCUCAAUGUUCUACACGAGUGAAUCAGAUCUCUGCUCUACUGCAGGAUAAACACUGUACACUCUACACACUGAUUCUGAAGAACAACUGUAUCACAGAAGGAGGGUGUCAUGUUCUGGCUGCAGCUCUAAAUUCAAACCCUUCAAAUCUGACAGAGCUGGAUCUGAGUGAGAAUAAACUAGGAAACCCAGGAAUGAAGAUCAUCUUGACUCUGUUUGAAAAUCUACAGUGUAGACUGGAAAAGCUGAAGUAAGUAUUUUAAGUGUAUCCCAUUAAUUACCCAGACUCUAGUGACCCACCACAGUUUCAUAAAUAUGAAAAUAUUUUACACUUCUCAUCAGAACUGCACAAUUAAUCAAAAUAAACUCGAAAUUGUGAUAUGGGUUAGGGCAGUUAUCAAACCACAAAAGGCUGCAUUUUAAGCUCUGAUUUUAGUCCUUGAAAACCAAAAAAGUAGUGCUUGAAAAGUCCUUGAAAGUCCUGGAAUUUCAUUUUGCAGUUUCUGUACGAACCCUGUUAUAAACCUGGUGUGAACUAAACACAGAAACUUAAAGGUCACUGUUCAGUUUUCCACCAAAAUAAAAGCCUGAGGGCUCAACAUUUGAAAGUAAAGAAAUUAAGACAUAAGAAUUACAAUAAUAAAUAUAUAAUUAAAUUCUUCAAAAAUUUAAAUCCUUCA
rnacentral:lncRNA from 1 species